rnacentral:rRNA from 1 species
AGGGCACCACCAGGAGUGGAGCCUGCGGCUUAAUUUGACUCAACACGGGAAAACUUACCUGGUCCUGACACUAGAAGGAUUGACAGAUUGAUAGCUCUUUCUUGAUUUGGUGGAUGGUGGUGCAUGGCCGUUCUUAGUUGGUGGAGUGAUUUGUCUGGUUGAUUCCGAUAACGAACGAGACUCUAGCCUAUUAAAUAACACACAGAAUCUUGUCUUCUGUGGCGUUUCUUAAUGGGAUCAAGUGUGUUUAACACUUUAAAACAGAGCAAUAACAGGUCUGUGAUGCCCUUAGAUGUUCGGGGCCGCACGCGCGCUACAUUGAGAGACAAAAUGAGUUUUCUAGUCUUUAAUAAGGCUAGUAAUCUUUGAAUGUUUUUCUUAAUGGGGAUAGGGGAUUGCAAUUGUGCCCCUUGAACGAGGAAUUCCCAGUAAGUGCUAGUCAUUAGCUAGUACUGAUUACGUCCCUGCCCUUUGUACACACCGCCCGUCGCUACUACCGAUUGAAUGGUUUAGUGAGAU